AGUAAAAUAUAGUGUAAUGAUAAUGUAAAAUAAUGUACUAAACGCUUUUGCUAUCAACGUAAUUAUUCAGUCAUAGUUAUAUAAUUUUUUUUUCUUUCCAAUUAGGUACAUUCAAAUGUGAUUUUAUACGAUUUUUUGAGAGAAACAAGUAAAAGAUCGAAAUGUUUAUUUAUGAUAAACCGCGUAUACGGCAUUCCUAAUAAUUUAUCAUUGUUAGUUAUAACGGUGCGUUGCAACUACGACUUGUGCAAUUAUUGAUAAUUCCAAUGAACCAAACCAAUGACAAACCGUGUAAAAAUACUCCUCUUGUUAAAACGGAACAACAAUUAUUAAUAAAAUUCAAUAGGUAAUGUGUAUAUUGAUUGGUAUUUAAAUAUAGGUUAUCUGUAACUCUGUUAGUAAAACACAAAUCGGCUUUACUAAAAUAUUCUUAACUGACUGAUAUGACAUAGUAGAUAUUACAAGGUCUAUAUUUAGGUAUCCGUGGCCGGUAAUAUAAACUUGGAAAACUAAAAUCAAAAAUUAAUUAUUUUACAAACAAGUCUGUGAUAAGAAUAAGUCGUUUACGCAAAAUAACUACAUAAAUUCACUUCUGUACGAAUGUAAUUGCAUACAUCUUGAAAACCCGUGAAAAAUUGUUUGAAAACAAGAACUGCAAUCAUCAGCAGCAUUAGUACUAUAAUACUAUAUACGACUUAUGAUAUAUUAUAUUCUGUAAAAAUAAAAUCUUAACCGUUUCGUUUACCACAGGUAAUAAUAAUUUGGAG